GAUUCCUACGGGGGGCAGCAGUGAGGAAUAUUGGUCAAUGGACGCAAGUCUGAACCAGCCAUGCCGCGUGCAGGAAGAAGGUGCUAUGCAUUGUAAACUGCUUUUAUACGGGGGUAAUUACAGAUACGUGUAUCUGGAUGAAAGUACCGUAUGAAUAAGGAUCGGCUAACUCCGUGCCAGCAGCCGCGGUAAUACGGAGGAUCCGAGCGUUAUCCGGAUUUAUUGGGUUUAAAGGGUGCGUAGGCGGGAGCGCAAGUCAGAUGUGAAAACUCAGGGCUCAACCCUGAGCCUGCAUUUGAAACUGG
rnacentral:rRNA from 1 species